rnacentral:sRNA from 1 species
UAGGAUCCAAUGCAUCCAAAGCCGAUCUCAAAAUUAUUCUGUAGCCAAUGACAUUUUGAACACCAGCUCCUCCUUUCUUCACCUCCGAAGCACUGGGAAUACAGAAAUACUGUAAUGCCUUGGUUACUUGCUGAACUGAAGAAAACACUCUAAAUAAGCCACUGUGAAUAAAUGAAGGCUGAAUGAUCAGAAACAUCCUUUGUGGAAUUUCAGUCAUCUGUCUCUACCUGGCUCCUCAGCACCCCUACCUAGUAAGAGGUAUGACGAACCCAGAUACUACAAAUAUCUCUGGGGAGCAAAUCACACCAAAUUGGAAACCAUGACAUAGCUUGUUAAACUGUGGUGCACAAGGCAUAUUAUGAGGUCCAGACUGGAACAAACACAAGACUCCUGUGGCUUUAAGUGCCCCAGGCCCAGACUAUGUUCUCUGGUCUUUGUGCUCAAGGAUCCAGGAUACUCCUGGCAUGCAGAAGUUUCUUGGGAUGCACACAUGCAUGGAUGAAGCGGUGACUUCAGGAUCAACCCUUGGACCUCUAGUCUCGCAGAUGCAUGAGAGGUGCAGAGCAUGACUCAUCAAUAUGGAAGAAGGAACUGGAAAAUGAUCAGUUCUGGAAAAACAAGUCAGCCUGGGAGUCAGGCCCCUGAGUCAUGGAUGCAGAAGGCAUUCAGGCUUGGGCCAAGGGGAUUGAACUUGUAUUUGAGAUAGAACCUGGAGGCCAAGUUGCCUGGAUCUCAUCUUGGCUCCACAUCCUGCUUUCCUUUGCACAGAUGAGGACCGGCCACCUCUACAGUUUCACUUCUUCCAGGCCAGCAGCUGGGAGUACACCCACCAGCUAAUGGAGCCUUUCAAAAGGAGACCCAGCACAGUUCCUUACCAACUGAGUGGGUGAUUUCAAUUAAAGGACCAUUACUCUGAAACUCUAUCCAGGCCCAGUUCCCAUCUGCUAGCAGGAGGCCUUUCUUUUCAGGUCUCAGGCCCUACUCUGUGGUUACAGAACCGGCCUUUCACUGGGGCCCAUCACCUUCACUAAAACACAGCAGAUGCUGCUAAUAAACAAACAUAUUGAUCAUACAGAUAUGGGAUGUCAGGAACUUAAUUCAUGAAUGAAGUGAGCUUUAAGAGUGCCCAGUGGGAGCUGGCUCCAUUUAAAGGG